UACGAAGGGGGCAAGCGUUGUUCGGAAUUAUUGGGCGUAAAGCGCACGUAGGCGGGUCUUUAAGUCAGGGGUGAAAUCCUGGAGCUCAACUCCAGAACUGCCUUUGAUACUGAGGAUCUCGAGUCCGGGAGAGGUGAGUGGAACUCCGAGUGUAGAGGUGAAAUUCGUAGAUAUUCGGAAGAACACCAGUGGCGAAGGCGGCUCACUGGCCCGGUACUGACGCUGAGGGUGGCGAAAAGCGUGGGGGAGCAAACAGGGAUUAAGAAAACCC
rnacentral:rRNA from 1 species